AAGAGCCGGAUGCGGAAAAGCCGCACGUCCGGAAUUCUGUGAGGGGCAGAGGGAGCAAUCCCCCUGUCUACUCAAC
rnacentral:misc_RNA from 1 species